CAAUUGUUCCCUAUGUAAGGGAAAUUAAUUUAUGACGACGUUUGGUAUAUAUUGUUGGUGUGGCCCAAAUUCACUCUUACUAAUUUUAACGUGGACCUUCGUAAUUGUCGCGGUUGUAAAGAUUUUCCAUGAAAUUUACUCGUAUUGGAACAAUGUAGUAUACCUAAAUCAACGCACCCUAUGUCCUUGCAAUGUGAUUGGUUGACGUAUAGAAUAACAAUAGAACAUCGAUUUAAUUUGAUAUUUUCCAGCUGACAUUGUUUUUCUUAUUAUUAAAUUAAAAUAUCAAGUACUACUGGUGCAUUUUAUUGGAGUACUGAAUAAGACAGGCGCAAGAAGGAGUACACUGUAUGGCAAUCGGACACUGCUAAUUUGUUUCGCUGGUUUAUCACGUACUACUUCAGUAUGCGUGUUUCUCUAGUUUUAAAUCAUAGAUUUUGUAUUACACCUGUGACACGUAACUUCAAUUUAUUUUGAAUAUUGUCGGAACAUGGGCGCAAAGUCAAUACAUGUUAAGUCUCGACAGUGCUCCAGUCCUGUCGAUCAAGCAACUCUUACUCUUGAAGAAAAAAUUGUUAAGAGAAUAUCA